CCUACGGGUGGCAGCAGUGAGGAAUAUUGGUCAAUGGACGAGAGUCUGAACCAGCCAAGUAGCGUGAAGGAUGACUGCCCUAUGGGUUGUAAACUUCUUUUAUAUGGGAAUAAAAUGUUCCACGUGUGGGAUUUUGUAUGUACCAUAUGAAUAAGGAUCGGCUAACUCCGUGCCAGCAGCCGCGGUAAUACGGAGGAUCCGAGCGUUAUCCGGAUUUAUUGGGUUUAAAGGGAGCGUAGGUGGAUUGUUAAGUCAGUUGUGAAAGUUUGGGGCUCAACCGUAAAAUUGCAGUUGAAACUGGCAGUCUUGAGUAGAGUAGAGGUGGGCGGAAUUCGUGGUGUAGCGGUGAAAUGCUUAGAUAUCACGAAGAACUCCGAUUGCGAAGGCAGUUCACUGGACUGCAACUGACACUGAGGCUCGAAAGUGUGGGUAUCAAACAGGAUUAGAUACCCGAGUAGUC
rnacentral:rRNA from 1 species